ACUCCUACGGGAGGCAGCAGUGGGGAAUAUUGCACAAUGGGCGCAAGCCUGAUGCAGCCAUGCCGCGUGUGUGAAGAAGGCCUUCGGGUUGUAAAGCACUUUCAGUCGUGAGGAAGGUAGUGUAGUUAAUAGCUGCAUUAAUUUUGACGUUAGCGACAGAAGAAGCACCGGCUAACUCCGUGCCAGCAGCCGCGGGUAAUACGGAGGGUGCGAGCGUUAAUCGGAAUUACUGGGCGUAAAGCGCAUGCAGGUGGUUUGUUAAGUCAGAUGUGAAAGCCCGGGGCUCAACCUCGGAAUAGCAUUUGAAACUGGCAGACUAGAGUACUGUAGAGGGGGGUAGAA
rnacentral:rRNA from 1 species